rnacentral:rRNA from 1 species
UUCAACGGCCGCGGUAUCCUAACCGUGCAAAGGUAGCGUAAUCACUUGUCUUCUAAAUAAGGACCUGUAUGAACGGCUAAAUGAGGGCUAAUCUGUCUCCUUUGACCAAUCAGUGAAACUGAUCCACCAGUACAAAAGCUGGUAUAAUACCAUAAGACGAGAAGACCCUGUGGAGCUUUAAAUUAUAACCAAAACAAUCAAACUAAAUAAUUACCUAUGGUGAAAAUUUUUAAGUUGGGGCGACUUCGGAACAAAACAAAACUUCCGAGCAUACAGAAUAUUAAUCUAACCAAGACUAACAAGUCAAAGCAAAACUUGACCCAGUGCCAACUGAUCACCGAACCAAGUUACCCCAGGGAUAACAGCGCAAUCUUCUUCAAGAGUCCCUAUCGACAAGAAGGUUUACGACCUCGAUGUUGGAUCAGGACACCCAAAUGGUGURGCCGCUAUUAAAGGUUC